GAUGAACGCUGGCGGCGUGCCUAAUACAUGCAAGUCGAGCGAACGGACGAGAAGCUUGCUUCUCUGAUGUUAGCGGCGGACGGGGGAGUAAAACGUGGAUAACCUACCUUUAAGACUGGGUUAACUUCGGGAAACCGGAGCUAAUACCGGAUGAUAUUUUGAACCGCAUGGUUCAAAAUUGAAAGACGUUCUUGCUGUCACUUAUAGAUGGAUCCGCGCUGCAUUAGCUAGUUGGUAAGGUAACGGCUUACCAAGGCAACGAUGCAUAGCCGACCUGAGAGGGUGAUCGGCCACACUGGAACUGAGACACGGUCCAGACUCCUACGGGAGGCAGCAGUAGGGAAUCUUCCGCAAUGGGCGAAAGCCUGACGGAGCAACGCCGCGUGAGUGAUGAAGGUCUUCGGAUCGUAAAACUCUGUUAUUAGGGAAGAACAUAUGUGUAAGUAACUGUGCACAUCUUGACGGUACCUAAUCAGAAAGCCACGGCUAACUACGUG
rnacentral:rRNA from 1 species